rnacentral:misc_RNA from 1 species
GAUGAAGAACGCAGCGAAAUGCGAUACGUAAUGUGAAUUGCAGAAUUCAGUGAAUCAUCGAAUCUUUGAACGCAUAUUGCGCUCUCUGGUAUUCCGGAGAGCAUGCUUGUUUGAGUAUCAGUAAACACCUCAACUUCCAUAUCUUUUUUGAAAUGGGAGUUGGACUUGAGUGAUCCCAACGCUUUUCCUCACCGAAAAGUGGCGGGUUACUUGAAAUGCAGGUGCAGCUUGACUUUUCUCUGAGCUAUAAGCAUAUCUAUUUAGUCUGCCUAAAAAACAGAUUAUUACCUUUGCUGCAGCUAACAUAAAGGAGAUUAGUUCUUGUGCUGACUGAUGCAGGAUUCACAAAGACGGCUUCGGCCGACUUUGUAAACUCGAUCUCAAAUCAAGUAAGACUACCCGCUGAACUUAAGCAUAUCAAUAAGCGGAGGA